rnacentral:rRNA from 1 species
AUUGAACGCUGGCGGCAUGCCUUACACAUGCAAGUCGAACGGCAGCGCGGACUUCGGUCUGGCGGCGAGCGGCGAACGGGUGAGUAAUACAUCGGAACGUACCCUGUUGUGGGGGAUAAUUAGUCGAAAGAUUAGCUAAUACCGCAUACGACCUGAGGGUGAAAGUGGGGGACCGCAAGGCCUCACGCAGCAGGAGCGGCCGAUGUCUGAUUAGCUAGUUGGUGGGGUAAAGGCCCACCAAGGCGACGAUCAGUAGCUGGUCUGAGAGGACGAUCAGCCACACUGGGACUGAGACACGGCCCAGACUCCUACAGGAGGCAGCAGUGGGGAAUUUUGGACAAUGGGGGCAACCCUGAUCCAGCAAUGCCGCGUGUGUGAAGAAGGCCUUCGGGUUGUAAAGCACUUUUGUCCGGAAAGAAAUCGCGCUGGUUAAUACCUGGCGUGGAUGACGGUACCGGAAGAAUAAGCACCGGCUAACUACGUGCCAGCAGCCGCCGUAA